GGCACAAACUUGAAGAAGAAUAGUCGGGUAUGGUCAGCUAAUCCUACUGAUCUACGCUGCUUCAAGUUUGUGCCC
rfam:Haemonchus contortus, ISE/inbred ISE, WGS project CAVP01000000 data, contig: Hcontortus_31009